UUGAACGCUGGCGGCAUGCCUUACACAUGCAAGUCGAACGGUAACGCGGGGCAACCUGGCGACGAGUGGCGAACGGGUGAGUAAUACAUCGGAACGUGCCCAGUAGUGGGGGAUAGCCCGGCGAAAGCCGGAUUAAUACCGCAUACGACCUAAGGGUGAAAGCAGGGGACCGCAAGGCCUUGCGCUAUUGGAGCGGCCGAUGUCAGAUUAGCUAGUUGGUGGGGUAAAAGCCUACCAAGGCGACGAUCUGUAGCUGGUCUGAGAGGACGACCAGCCACACUGGGACGGAGACACGGCCCAGACUCCUACGGGAGGCAGCAGUGGGGAAUUUUGGACAAUGGGCGCAAGCCUGAUCCAGCCAUGCCGCGUGCGGGAAGGAGGCCUUCGGGUUGUAAACCGCUUUUGUCAGGGAAGAAAUCCUUUGAGCUAAUACCUCAGAGGGAUGACGGUACCUGAAGAAUAAGCACCGGCUAACUACGU
rnacentral:rRNA from 1 species